rnacentral:rRNA from 1 species
CCUACGGGAGGCAGCAGUGGGGGAUAUUGCACAAUGGGGGAAACCCUGAUGCAGCGACGCCGCGUGGGUGAAGAAGUAUUUCGGUCUGUAAAGCCCUAUCAUCAGGGAAGAAAGAAGACGGUACCUGACUAAGAAGCCCCUGCUAACUACGUGCCAGCCGCCGCGGUAAGACGUAGGGGGCGAGCGUUCUCCGGAUUCACUGGGUGUAAAGGGAGCGUAGACGGCCGUGCAAGCCAGGAGUGAGAGCCCGGGGCCCCACCCCGGGACUGCUCUUGGAACUGUGCGGCUGGAGUGCGGGAGGGGCAGGCGGAAUUCCUGGUGUAGCGGUGAAAUGCGUAGAUAGCAGGAGGAACACCGGCGGCGAAGGCGGCCUGCUGGACCGCGACUGACGUUGAGGCUCGAAAGCGUGGGGAGCGAACAGGAUUAGAGACCCCAGUAGUC